CAACUCAGAACUGCUCAGUGCCCUGGCUCUCCGAGCACAGGAGGAACACAUCAAGGAAGCCCUACUGGCUCACAGCUUCCUAGGUCGCCAGCCAGGGGGCCCCCAAGGCACACCUGAAGGUAAGUCUUCCCUGUCUUCUAGGUUCUUCCUGCUGUUGAUAGGCCUUCUCUGUUACCUCUCAGGCCCUCCCUGUUGUCCCCCAGGCACUCCCUGCUGUCCCCCCAGGCCCUCCCUGUUGUCCCCCAGGCACUCCCUGCUGUCCCCCCAGGCCCUCCCUGCUGUCCCCCAGGCCCAGGUUUCCUCUAGCUCCAGCUUGGACACAGUCUCUCCCUUCAGAGACCUCCAGGUGGCUGCAGUCUGAAGUGGAAAGCUGGCUUCUGGCCCAGUCAGGCUGUGAUGUAACCUUCAAUGGACCUCGGGCCCUGGCCCAUCUGCAAGCCCUGA
rnacentral:lncRNA from 1 species